rnacentral:rRNA from 1 species
ACGGAGGGUGCGAGCGUUGUCCGGAAUCACUGGGCGUAAAGGGCGCGUAGGUGGCUCGGCAAGCGUGCGGUGAAAGCUCGGGGCUCAACCCCGAGUCGGCCGUGCGAACUGCUGGGCUUGAGCACUGUAGAGGCAGAUGGAAUUCCGGGUGUAGCGGUGGAAUGCGUAGAGAUCCGGAAGAACACCGGUGGCGAAGGCGGUCUGCUGGGCAGUUGCUGACACUGAGGCGCGACAGCGUGGGGAGCAAACAGGA